UAUUAAAAUUUUUAUCAAUUUGUACUGUUUUAAACUGACAUGAUUGAGGAAAAAAACCGACAGUAACAUGUGGCAUAUCAAGUGCAUCUCAUUCUAAUAUACAAUAAUAAGUUUCAAAUAGUAAAAAUGGAUAAAAUUUUAACA
rnacentral:pre_miRNA from 1 species